CUGUGACUCUAAACCUUCCCUUCUGCUCAAACCCCAGACAAUGAUACCCUACAGUCCCGUGGCCACUGAUUGUCUUUAUGAUAUAGCAGAGUCCACAGGACUCUUCUCUAUAGAAGGAAAGGGCUGGGUCAUAGAGGGAGGCGUCAAGCUGGAGGUGGACAUGGGGAUGAAAACUGAUAUCCUUAGUGAAGAGAACAGUGAUGGAGAAAAAGAAACAGAGAAUGCUGAGAGAAAGGCACUGACCCCAAGAUAAGCUACAGUGUGACAGGGAGGAACAAAGAAACAGGAGAUAGAAAUAAUUGCACUGCGACACGUUGCAGAGAGGAGAAAUGCUUUACAGAAAGUGAAGAAGACAAGUUUCACUGGAGGCGACAGCUGGGAAGAUUUCCGUAGGAGGAAGGAUGGGCUGGCCUGGGGCUUUUAGACCAGCAAAACGUGGAGGAAGAGGUGCUGUGGAACUUCUGGAUGCCAAGAAGCCUCACACCUUCCACCUGGCCUUUCGGACACUGGCUCUUGGGACACUCUCUCUCGCAACCCAGCCGCCACGCUCUGAGAAGCCCAAACCACAGGCAGAGGGCAUCAGAAGGCCUUGCUGUUUACCACCCAGCUCAGCUGCCGGCCAGCAGCCAGACUCCACUGCUGGCCAGGCGCUUCACAGUCACCCAGUGUGAUCCAGUAACUUCUAGAGGGCAGGGCCUCUGGGAGGAGGUGUUUUGUUUAGACAUUCCAAAGAGAAAGAUGAGGAAUGGUGACCGGAUCCAGUUGUUGGCCUGGCUCCUGAGGCUUGUAUGCAGUCCUGGCCUCUUAGUUAUCCCAGAGCACGUUUUUCAUUUUUCAUUUUUUCCACAGUGAUGCUCCUCAGAUUAUGG